CAUGGCUGCUGCACCGGCUCAGCCCCACCGUGGGGACGUCCAGCGCCUGCUCUUCUCCCUCCUGGCCCUGCAGUGGGGACUGGCUGGCAGUGACUCCGGAGUGCAAGUGCAGCAGGCACCAUCCCUUGUGAGCAGGAGGCAGAAUGAGCUCCUGCAGCUGAACUGCAGCGUCAACCAAGCUAAUUAUUAUUUCUACUGGUACCAUCAGCUCCCGGGACAGACAGCGCUCCAGCUGCUUGGGUGGUUCGGUAUUGAUGACAAUCAUCUGCAAGAACCAAAACAGGAGCUGAAGGAGCGGCUGAGUGGCAAGCGGGACGGCAAAGUAACCCAUUUGGAGCUGAAGAGCCUCCAGCAGGACGACUCAGGGCUGUACCUGUGUGCCUCAAAGUACACGGGGUGCCUCUACCCCUGGGCAGAGUCAAGCGGUUUCCUUAGGCAGCUGCUGCUCUAA